CGUUAUGAGGAAAUGAGAACUUAGAGUUGCUUAGAAAAUCAAGAAGUUGCCUCCAAGCCACAUUGCUGGUUCUCUGCAUUAAAUCAGGCAGUUGAGAAUGAUAAUGUUUUGAUGAAAGGUAAGACCAAGACAAAAUGAUCCUGCCACAUUUUUAUGGAUAAAGAACAUCCUCCUUAUCCGAAGAAGAGUCCUUAGAGAGAGGAAUGGAGAAAGAGAGAGAGAGAGAGAGAUGGAGAAAUAUCAAUGUGAG